rnacentral:rRNA from 1 species
UACGUAGGGUGCGAGCGUUAAUCGGAAUUACUGGGCGUAAAGCGUGCGCAGGCGGUUCGUUGUGUCGGCGGUGAAAGCCCCGGGCUUAACCUGGGAAUGGCCGUUGAAACUGGCGAACUGGAGUGUGGCAGAGGGGGGUGGAAUUCCGCGUGUAGCAGUGAAAUGCGUAGAGAUGCGGAGGAACACCGAUGGCGAAGGCAGGUCUCUGGGCCGUAACUGACGCUGAGGAGCGAAAGCGUAGGGGAGCGGAAC